rnacentral:rRNA from 2 species
UGGGGAAUAUUGGACAAUGGGCGAAAGCCUGAUCCAGCAAUGCCGCGUGAGUGAAGAAGGCCUUCGGGUUGUAAAGCUCUUUUACCCGGGAAGAUAAUGACUGUACCGGGAGAAUAAGCUCCGGCUAACUCCGUGCCAGCAGCCGCGGUAAUACGGAGGGAGCUAGCGUUGUUCGGAAUUACUGGGCGUAAAGCGUACGUAGGCGGCUUUGUAAGUCAGAGGUGAAAGCCCACGACUCAAUCGUGGAACUGCCUUUGAGACUGCUUCGCUUGAAGAUGGGAGAGGUUAGUGGAAUUCCGAGUGUAGAGGUGAAAUUCGUAGAUAUUCGGAAGAACACCAGUGGCGAAGGCGGCUAACUGGACCAUUCUUGACGCUGAGGUACGAAAGCGUGGGGAGCAAACA